GAAAUGCUCGGAGAUCCAAAUGAAGGCGUUUCCUAAGGUGGGGAGAGAGUCACACAGAGAUGCUCCCCUCCUGAGAGAGACUGCCCUGCCUGGGCCACUCCACCCCCCUAGGGAGGCCGGCAAGCCCAGGGCAGCGGCAUUGCCAAUGAUGGGACAACAGCCUGCCCACCCUAUCGAAUGCCACAUAAGGCAUAAGCAUCUCGUCAUGCAGCGGGGGCUGCUCACCCUGGACCCAGAGCCCCCGGCAAAGCUGCCUCACGCCGACCCAGCCAGGGGAGCUGGUGUGGAGUUCAGUGAGAUGGAGACCAAUUUCCUGCUCAGUGGGGUCAGGGAGAACUUGGAAUGGCACACGCAGCGGAAGAAGCUGCAGCAGGAGUGGGGGUUGCCGGAUGGCCUGUGGAAAUCCCUGCGGGCUUUCCUACCCCCGGUUCCCAAGCUGUCCUCCCUGAAGGCAAAGCCCGAGGUUGAGGUGGUUCCCAUCCUUGGGGAGCUGCUCUUCCUUGGGAGGGACGUUAAAAAGCAGCUGGAGUUCCACAUUACAAAGAUGCAAGUGCAGCAAAGAUCGGAACUGCCCAUGAGGAUCCAGGAUUCCCUGAGGAGGUUCAUGUCUCCUUCCCCAGAGGAGAGAGGCCGGCUCUCUCACCCUACCUGCGGGGGCAUCGUGACUCCGUACCGGUCACCAUUUCAGGUGCGUUCCAAGGAGGCUCGGUCUAUUCAGUUCCCUCUAAGGGCCCCCAGUCAGAGGUGGCUGGAGGAUGUACAUGCCCUACCCACCGACAGAAGGCAGCAAAUGGCCAGGUCUUACUCCUGGAACCAUCCUGGGGCAGCAGCAUCGAAAGGGCAAGAAACGCCAGACCAACUAUCUGCUGAGCUGCAUGGUCUUCGAGACAUCACGGCUCCACACGGGUUCGAUGGAACUGUGAAUUCAAAGCUCUCCAGGGACCAGCCACCAAUCAGAGUUUGUAAGAAGUGCGAUAAGGUUCGACGGAAGAGACCAGCUGGCUCUGCAGGUGCUGACUUGCCCAG
rnacentral:lncRNA from 1 species